rnacentral:rRNA from 1 species
CGGGCGAGUAACACGUGGAUAACCUACCUAUAAGACUGGGAUAACUUCGGGAAACCGGAGCUAAUACCGGAUAAUAUUUUGAACCGCAUGGUUCAAAAGUGAAAGACGGUCUUGCUGUCACUUAUAGAUGGAUCCGCGCUGCAUUAGCUAGUUGGUAAGGUAACGGCUUACCAAGGCAACGAUGCAUAGCCGACCUGAGAGGGUGAUCGGCCACACUGGAACUGAGACACGGUCCAG